AGUGAACGCUGGCGGUAGGCCUAACACAUGCAAGUCGAACGGCAGCACAGUAAGAGCUUGCUCUUACGGGUGGCGAGUGGCGGACGGGUGAGGAAUACAUCGGAAUCUACUUUUUCGUGGGGGAUAACGUAGGGAAACUUACGCUAAUACCGCAUACGACCUACGGGUGAAAGCAGGGGAUCUUCGGACCUUGCGCGAUUGAAUGAGCCGAUGUCGGAUUAGCUUGUUGGCGGGGUAAAGGCCCACCAAGGCGACGAUCCGUUGCUGGUCUGAGAGGAUGAUCAGCCACACUGGAACUGAGACACGGUCCAGACUCCUACGGGAGGCAGCAGUGGGGAAUAUUGGACAAUGGGCGCAAGCCUGAUCCAGCCAUACCGCGUGAGUGAAGAAGGCCUUCGGGUUGUAAAGCCCUUUUGUUGGGGAAGAAAAGCAGCAUGUUAAUACCCCGCUGUUCUGACGGUACCCAAAGAAUAAGCACCGGCUAACUUCGUG
rnacentral:rRNA from 1 species